GUAAUAUGAAAAGUGAACCACUAAAACUGAUGAUUAUUCAAGUUUAAGGGAAUUUUGUAAUACCCUGCUAUGUUAUUUCCCCAGAAUCAGCCACCUGGUGGCAAAAGUGGUAACUACCUAGUCCUACUCGCAUCUAAGUAAUUGAAGUGGUUUAUUUUAAUUUUAUUUCGAAUUUUUCCUUAUGAAAGUGGAAAUUAUGGCUGUGAACAAUCAUCAACUUGAUACCGUUAACGAAUUGGUUGAAGCCCCAACAUUGAUGAACAAAGACUCUAAAAGUAACAAGACAUACAAAUGAACUAAGAAAGCAUGUCUGAUGAAAAUGAUAAGGAGGAUGCAGCCAUAGCUGAGAAAGAUGACUCUGUUCCCACAAUUCAACCUAAUUCAUGUGAUGUGUUAAAUAGAGAGCAAAAUAUACAAAAACGUUGGCUUGAAGAUGAUGACAUUAUCAUUGGAGAUGAUGUUGAGGAGUCAAGUAAUUGUUAUGGUAGGAGAACUGAUCAGGAUGUUUCAGGUGAUGAUCAUACAGAUGUGUCUACUUGUGAUCCAGCGGUUGAAACCUCCAAGCUAAAAGCACAAAGAUAUAUGAAGCCUCAUAACAUAGAAACCCAAUCAAAUAGUGCAUUUUUAAUUCCUGGGGGACACAUGACUGAUAUAAAUUUGGAUGAUGUAUCACGGUCUCUCCAUGGUUCUCCAACAUUACUAAAAGAUCUUGGUUACACUUCCACAAUGUCAGAUCUCCCAGUGUGGAAACCCUCAUGUGAAGCCCAAUCACCAAACCCCAAUGCGGCAUUUAGGUUCUCAAAAAAGGAUUCGGAUCAAUUGGGAAAUGCAAUUCAACUCCAGAUAAAUAGUUAUAGAGAUGCUAAUGAUAAUUUAGGAGAUGAGCUUAAGGAUUAUGUAAUAGAUCAUGAAGUAAUGUCUGUGCUCAAUACGGUGUCUGUGGAAUCCUGUGAUCUUGUUAGCAAAACUGACAUUAAUCAAAAAUUUAAAGAUACACCUCAAACACCAACGCAGGCAGAAACAGUGACGUCAAAACAAGUAAAUGAUGUCAUUGAUGUGAAUUUUAUAAAUGACUUGGUGAAACUUGGUGCUCUUUCAGAUUCAAAACUGGCUAGUCCCAAUGUUCCAUUUCCUAAUGCUAAUGCUAUAGACCAAGAGAGUGAGAUGGAAAUAAACAUAGAAAGCUUUAACAUUGAUGACCAGGAUCUGAUUCAUGAACUUCCACAAUUAAUUAUUUUGAAGAUUUUUUCCUUCUUCUCUCACUCAGAGCUUUGUCAUAAAAUCAUGCAUGUUUGCAAAGCCUGGUAUUGCCUGGCCCAUGAUCCAUUAUUAUGGCAGCAUAUAUCUAUAACAUCAGACAAAGAUUUAGACAAUGGAACAAUUCUACGUUUAAUGAAAAGAAGUCCACAGUUGAAAAAACUCACGAUGUGGGGCAGGAAUGAACUCAACCAAACUCUAGUCUCAUCCUUUAUAAGAUACACCCCAAAAUUAAAAACACUAAUCCUUGAAUUCUGUCAUAAUGUGAAUUCAAACAUGUUGAGAAUUUUCAUUAAAAAUUGCUCAAAAAUUUCUGAGUUGAAUUUAGAAGGCUGUGAUCAAAUAGAUGCAAAUUGUGUGAACAUGAUAACAGACCUUCAGUACAUUUGCAAGCUCAACUUGUCUCAUUGUGUAAAGCUAACUGAAGAUGAUAUUGUGACAUUAGUGCAUGCUGCAGAGCCUAACCAGUUUGUGGAGUUCAAUAUAGAUGGCAUCUCAUGUAUUACAGACAGCGUAUUGGAACAACUUGUGUUACAUCAUCAAUCAAGCCUCACCAGUCUCACAAUAGAUGGAGCUGAGAUAUCAGACGAAAGUAUGGCACAUAUUUCCAACUGUGAGAACAUGAGAAAGUUCAGUAUUUCCUUCGCUGAGCUACUUACAGACAAAAGCUUGAUUUACUUGAAGAGAUUGCAGUCAUUAACAGAGCUGAGACUUAAAAAGGGUAUAGGGUUUUCUACAGAGGUUUUACAAGAUUUCUUUGAAAGUCAUCAACUGAACCUGGAGUACCUUGAUCUCACAGAGUGUACCUUCCUCCAGGAUUCUGCAGUUUUCCAAAUAACCAAACAAUGUGGUAAAACCUUGAGAAGUCUUGCAUUAUGUUGGUGUUGGGACCUGACAGAUGAUAGUCUCAUCUCAAUAGUGGACAACUGCCCAAACAUCAGACAUCUUGACCUAACUGGACUGGACAAAAUAACAGGGAGUUGCUUGGACAGAAUACCAGAAGAAAUGCCCCACCUGAAGUUCCUAGAUCUGCGACAGUGCAAUAAUAUUAUUGAUGAGUUGAUACAAGAUGUUGUGCGAAGAAAGAAGGAUUUGACUGUGAUUAACUAUUAUGGAGAGGAAUUCUCAGUAUUUGGCAACACCCUGUAUGUAUCCUAUUAAACAUUUGUGAAUCAUACUAUGUAUGUCAUACUUAAAAGGAACACUGAUCUGGCUUUGAGACAAUAUUGCUUGGAUACAACCAUCUCAAAUGAUUCUGCAACACUACCACCUCAUGUGCAACUUAUACUGCUGGUACUCACCAAGUCAAAUGGAGAUGCACUGGCCAACUUGGGGCAUUUACUCUUGAGUGUCUAGGAGUCAAUGGAGACUUUCACCUUGCAUGUAAAAUUGAAAUGGCAACGUAUAAAUCACCCUAUACAAAUGCAUGUUCUCAAAUGAAUAAUCGUUCAGUUACAGUGUUUACUUAGUCUGUUACUUAGGCUACAUUACAUCGUGUAAUAUGUCAAUGAUUGUUAUAUAGCUGGUUUUCUAUGAUACAUACCUUCAACAAGCUCAUUUUGUAAGAUAUUUGGAGCUAAAACAUGUAUGACAUACAUCAUUUUCUUCAGAAAGCAUUAUACUGUGCACUGAAAUCAAAAUUGCCAACAUAGUAUUCAACAGACAUGAGUAGAAUGAUUAACGUUGACAACAACAUGAAAUU
rnacentral:misc_RNA from 1 species